GAUGAACGCUGGCGGCGUGCCUAAUACAUGCAAGUCGAGCGAACAGACGAGGAGCUUGCUCCUCUGACGUUAGCGGCGGACGGGUGAGUAACACGUGGAUAACCUACCUAUAAGACUGGGAUAACUUCGGGAAGCCGGAGCUAAUACCGGAUAAUAUAUUGAACCGCACGGUUCAAUAGUGAAAGACGGUUUUGCUGUCACUUAUAGAUGGAUCCGCGCCGCAUUAGCUAGUUGGUAAGGUAACGGCUUACCAAGGCAACGAUGCGUAGCCGACCUGAGAGGGUGAUCGGCCACACUGGAACUGAGACACGGUCCAGACUCCUACGGGAGGCAGCAGUAGGGAAUCUUCCGCAAUGGGCGAAAGCCUGACGGAGCAACGCCGCGUGAGUGAUGAAGGUCUUCGGAUCGUAAAACUCUGUUAUUAGGGAAGAACAAAUGUGUAAGUAACUAUGCACGUCUUGACGGUACCUAAUCAGAAAGCCACGGCUAACUACGUG
rnacentral:rRNA from 1 species